rnacentral:sRNA from 1 species
CCUAAGAUGGCAGAGGAAUAAGAUGGGGAGACCGCAUUCUCCCCAACACAUUCAUCAAAUGAUCAUUUGAACGCUGAGCAACUUCCACAAAACAAUUUCUGAAUGCUGGCAGAGGACACCAGGUACCCAGAUAGGCUGCUCAUUGUCUUUGAAAGGAGACCAAAGAUUGAGCAAAUACCAAAGCAGAACUAGCCGGCUGUCUCCAGGCCCCUCCCCCAACAAGAGGCAGACAGCCAUGUGUGUGGCAGCCAGAAUCAGAAGGCAAGGGGCG